GUACUUGUAUAGGAGCUUUCUGACCUAUGAGAUACACAUCUUUGUUCAGAUCUCUUUCUAAGAUCACGUGAAAUGAAACAGGCAACACUAUAUGUUUAUACUGCAAAGUUACCAUGUUUCCUUUCAGGAAAUUCACAUGAUAAAGUUCAAAGAAUAUUUUAUCGAUGUUCCGUUUUGUUUCUUUCUGGUGGUAUAAGCCCAUUUGUGAUGGUGUGGAAUGCUCUCUGUGUAAGGAGUAUUUCUGUUUUCUUUGUUGAAGGUCAGUAAAGGCCUGCUAGGAUUCUGAUAUAACUUCUUGAAAUUUGGGAAAAGCUGAAAAGGCCUCGUUCUAAUUCUCUUACGAUAGUUGGUCUUGGAAAACGUUAUUCAUGGUUCUGGCCUUUUUCUUUGGCUUUGGGUGAUAAAUAGGUCAAUUUUCUCUAUAAGGAAACUGUCCUCGUUCUCUCUCUUUUGUUAAUUACUUCUUGUUAAGUCAAAUUACUGCAUUAAAAGGUGCAAGCUAAUUAGCCUUUCUGUAGUGCAUAUUUAGUGAAAAAAAAUAAAAAAUAAAGAAGUGCAUAUAUAGAAAACUCAAUACCAGAUAGGCAGAAGGUCCUCUAUGUACUACAAAUCACACUAUUGAUCAAAAACUUAGAUCCUGGGGAGGAAAGAUUAUAGUGAAACUCAUCUCUUUCUAUUUCUCCGUUGUUACAUUCUGCUUCAAGCGCGUGUUUCUGCUUCAUUUCAGCCUCCCAAGUUUUCUCUACAACCACGGCUGUACUCAAAUUUAAGCUAGUUGGGGUUAGUUAUAUGAAUCCUCACUAUCCAUUUCGUCCCAUUUGGACGCAUUUUAAUCCAAUAUCCAAUGUGGGGUUUGCUACAGUUUGCUGGUCACAAAUAUUCAAUAAUCGUGGUCCCUUAGAGCCAGAGGUUCUUUACAAUUUCUACUCACAUACAGAUCUCAAUUUCUUCCUCUCGAAUAUUCAUUAAAGCAGAUUGUUGAGAAUAUAAUUAAAUAUUAAAAGUGUGCUCUCUCUAACAGCUUAAGUUUUUAGAUGGGAUGGUCACACACUUCAAUGUGGUAUCAAAGCAGGCAGAGAUACUGAGAUCGAAUCUCACUGCCACCUAAAUCAAAAAGAAUAAUCACGUGCUUGACCAUGAAAAAAAUCAGGCCUGCACCUGAGGGGGCGUAUUGAGAAUAUAAUUAAAUAUUAAAAGUGUGCUCUCUCUAACACCUUAAGCUUUUAGAUGAGAUGGUCACACACUUCAAUACAAAUAAUGGUCCAUUUGUGAAUGACGGGUAAAUGAUGAUCCAAGGAGCACUGAAUGCUUGUCAAUAUGCUUGAUUUGCUAAGAUGCUAUAUAGUGAUGCCCUUGUAUGGCAGCCAAGAGAUAUAAAAGAAUGCCGAAAUUUUCACACUUCCUCACACCUUGGUUGCUUGAUCCUCAAAUAACGUUCCAUUUGUAGGUUAUUCCUGGAUCUUUAUCCAUGGAAUACCUUGUGUUAUGGUUAGUUGAUAGUGCUAUUAGUGUGGUCUACAGCAUUUUUCCAUGUUGAGUCUAUGUGCCUCUUCAUUCCUAAUAAGGUUGACGGCAUGUCAUGUUUGCUGAGCGGUACAAUUGGACAAAUCUUUGUUUUCAUUGAAAUCAAUUGACUUCCUUGGGGAAGUUGUCAUACCUUUCAAAUGCAUUAACAUUUUUCCAUAACAAUGCUGCCUUUCAUCGUGGAAAUUUAACAAGAUUUACCUGCUAUUACUUCAACCCUCUAUUUUGGAAUGGCAUCCAACUUUUCACCGUACCUCCCAAGGUAGAGGUAAGGUCUACAUACACUCUACCCUCCCCAGACCCCACUUGUGGGAUUACACUGGGUAUGGUGUUGUUAUCCAACUUUUUCACCUUUACCAAAAUCAGUGAAAUCAUGGGAAGAAUGCAUGUGGCUGUCAAAUGCAUUUGCAUUUUCCUAUCUGAUUAGACUCUUGUUCAUAGAUUGAGAUUCAAAUUAUUGUCCCUCCUUUAGGAUUUUUAUUUUAUUUUAUUUGGGGUGGGUUGUGUAAACCAAGGCCCCCAUUUUGUAGUUUUCUUCAUGCUACAUGAUUAGUAAAGUGGUUUAUCUUUAAUCUUUGAGUUCAAGUAAGAGUGCAGAUCCUAAGUAAACCAGGGAGAGUGUUUACAUUGCUACUGAAUAAUGUCAAUUGUUCUUAUGGUAAAUUUUCUGGAAAAGAAGCAGAAAAGUUGUCUUUAUAUAAUGUCGAGGGAGAGGUAGAAAAAGUGUCUGUAUAUAAUGUUGACUGAGGCAGAAACAAGUGUUUUCAUAUAAUGUUGAGGAGAGGCAGAAAAAGCUGGCGUUAUCUCACUGUUGCAAAAAACGGUCUGCUUAUUAGAUUCUUAAGAGUUAUGGAAUAAGAAAUUCAGUAGCUGUUUUUAAUUGGAAACUUCUUCUACCACUGCACUUGGCAAUUCAACUGUGGAAGUUCAAUUUGUAAGUAUAAAUAAGCUUACUUUCCAAUUCACUUCCAAGUCAUCUAUUGAGGAGGUCUUUUUAUGUUCAUCUUAAACUACUAGGGUUAAGACAAUCUGGCUGUGCGUGUCUUUAAUGCUUUAGCAAAUAGUCUUUGAGGUUCUCUAAGGGUAAUAAAUAGGAAAGUAAACCGUGGAAAUUCAAUUGUAGGUGUCAACAAGCUUACUUUCCUAUUCAGUUCAAGCAUCUAAUUGAUGGGUCUAGUUAUGAUUAUCUUUUGGCUUUAACUUGAGUCAAGACAAUGUAGUCAUACAAGUCUUUAGUAUGAACAAUAGAACACUUCAACAAACAAUCUUUGGGGCCUCUAACUAUAAAGAAAGAAAAAAAUUCAAGUCAGGGUAGAGCAUGCUGCUAGUCCACAUAUGUUUACCUUGUCCUAUACUCCCACUGCGUAAAUUAGAGUUUGAGACAACCUUUGAGAUUUGUGGUGACAUGAUUCUUAUUCCAAAUAUAUAGUUUAAUUAUUUUUUUCCAUCCUUUUGUCAAAACAAUUACUCCCUCUGGUUCAAAUUAAGUGUCCACUUAGCUUUUUUCGCACCCCUUAGGAAAACAUUAACUCCUAGAAAAAAAUAGAUAUUUUGACUAAACUACCUUUGAUUAAUAAGACUCUUGCUUAUUUAUUGCCUUGAGUGCAUAGGGACAAAUUUGGAAAAAUGAAGUUAAUUCCUUCUUGAUCUUGUAAGUGUACACUUAUUUUAACCAAAAUAAAAAGGCCAGGGUGGGACAUUGUGACGUCUCCUAAAAAAUGGGGAGGCCUCGGAAUUAAGGAUUUAAAAGUCUUUAAUAAAGCUUUAUUGGGUAAAUGGAUGUGGAGGUUCGGGGUGGAGGUACAAGCUUUGUGGAGGGGGGUGAUAGUUGACAAAUAUGGGAUUAUGGAAGGAGGCUGGAAAACUAGAGAUACCGUUUUGCCUUUUGGUUAUGGUUUAUGGAGAAAUAUCAUGUAGCGAUGGGAUAAUUUUGUGAAAAAUAUCUCAUUCAAGGUCGGUGAUAGGAGAAGGGUAUAUUUUUGGGGACACAACUGGUGUGGGGACAUAUUAUUGAAAGAUGAUUUCCAGAGUUUGUACAAAAUAUCUUGCCAUAGAUAUUUGACAAUUUAGCAGAUUAGGGGGACUCAAGGUGGAGAGACUUUUUGGGAUUUGAGAUUUAGAAAGGAUUUUCAAGAUUGGGAAGUGGAUGAGUUUCAAAGAUUGAUAGAUUUGCUUCAUAGGCAAGUCAACCGGGUGGAUAAUCCCGAUGUGUGGUGUUGGGCCCAAGGAAAUAAUGGAGUGUUCUCGGUGAAGUUUUUUUAUGAGAAACUUAUGGUUAGGGAGGAAGUUGAUUUCCCAUGUAAUGCAAUAUGGGUUCCAAGUUUGCCGAGGAAGGUGUUUUUCUUCACUUGGCUAGCCACUAGAGGAGUGAUUUUGACGGCGAAAAAUCUUAGAAAGAGAAAGGUUGUUUGCGUCAGUUGGUGCUACAUUUGCAAUGAGACAGGGGGGGACGUGAACCAUCUUCUUCUACAUUGUAGGUUUACCAUGAGACUGUAGUGGGACAUGUUUGGGUGGUUCAACACUUCUUGGGCAAUGCCAAGAACUGUGAAAGAGUUGAUGGGCUUGGAACAUGGUUCCGCUUGCAUUGAUGUGGGUAGUUUGGAAUGAGAGAAACAAGAGAGCUUUUAAAGGAAUAGAGUCAAGUUUUUCUCAAUUGAGGAGUAGUCUUCGCUCCCUUAUUUUCUUUUGGUGUAAUCAGAAAGUUCCUAGUUGUAUAGAGGAUUGGGUGGAGUUUGUAGAGAAUCAUAUUUUGUAGAUUCUUUUAUCUUUUGGUAUAUCCCUUGUAUACGGUCGUUCUUUGGCCAUGUUUAUGAAUGAAAAUACUUUUACUUGAUUUUAAAAAAAAAAAAAAAAGGGGCUAAGUG